rnacentral:lncRNA from 1 species
UAAGCUGCAUGGUAAAUGGAAAUAAUUAUAUCAUUCUACCAUUUAUUUUCAUGAUAGAAACUAGUUUAGAGCUAAAAAAAUUGGAAUGCAAGAGAAUUGAUUCCCAUUCCGCACUUUCAAAUUACAAUUAGUGACAGUGCAGCCUUAAUAAACAAAGAAAUAGUUUACAUGAUGCACUAUAAAAACAUGCCUUGGAACUUGUCACAAGCUGCCAAAAAAGUGAGAAGUCGGCAAGAAUGGUUACUGCAUCGGCAUCUCACUUUCCACACUUUUGCGAAGAUUGUGGUUGUAUUGUCUCAUGUCGAAAAGCAGUGUUUAACGCCACUUUGUCAUGGAUAAUGAGACCCCAUGAACUCAAUCUAGCACAAGAAAACGUGAUUCGAAGGUGCUUCAGGAUUGUGGAGAAGUCUGUGGGUGCGAACUUCGAAGCGCACUAGGAAGGUUCUUGCGAGCAAGACUCCUUCCAUGCAGGGCUGUGAGAGUGUAGGAGAGUUUCGAACCAUGUUCCUUCAACUGCAACGUUGAAUCGUUAGCUUUGCGAAGAAAGAAGAAGACGGCGACGAGAAAGUGGUCGCCGGCGCCUCGUCUUGUAAAGCCAUUCGAAUCCAGAUGGUUAGUCUGCUGAGGAAUCUGAGAUUGUGGGUUCGAUGAGAAUGGCGGACGCCCACAAACCCUGACAACUGCACCAAGAACAAUCUCAAGGCAGCCGUUCUAGUCAAAACUCCAACUCCAGUGCUGCGUCGCUGACGGCGGUGUCAGUCCCCAGCCACAACAUAGCCCACAAAGGAUUGCAAUUGAUCCAAAAUGGAGUCACUGAGAGGCUGGGUGGAGGUGCGAUGGGGGUAAAGGGUAACAGAAACUUUUACCGUCCUUGAUAUAGCCGAACGAUCCCGGCGGAGUGCUAAAUGGGUCCUGAUUGUGGAUAGUGACGAAGAAUCAGGCAGCGUGCCGAACAUGUUCGACGUGCUUGCCUAUUAUGAUAACAAGGACAGGCUUCACCUUUCCUAGUUCUUUUCUUAGCAUCAAUACUUCGCUGCAGCGCCUGGAUGUGGUAAGCCCUCUGGCACGGAGCGCGCCUCGGGCGGAGCCAGAGGAGGAAGAUUUUGUGUCGCUAUUAUUGGAUUUCCAGGCUAAACAUAGUCUCGGUUUCGCUCCCCCCCCCCCGCUGGGCGAUUCAAACAAGGCCAUGCAACGGAACCGCCGUGGUCAACCGCCAAUUCACAGCCACGACUUCACCUCCACAAGUCUAUU